rnacentral:rRNA from 1 species
UACGGAGGAUGCGAGCGUUAUCCGGAUUUAUUGGGUUUAAAGGGUGCGUAGGCGGAACAUUAAGUCAGCGGUAAAAUCGAGGGGCUCAACCCCUUUAAGCCGUUGAAACUGGCUGGCUUGAGUUGGGGAAAGGCAGGCGGAAUGCGCGGUGUAGCGGUGAAAUGCAUAGAUAUCGCGCAGAACUCCGAUUGCGAAGGCAGCAUGCCGGCUCCACACUGACGUUGAGGCUCGAAAGCGUGGGGAGCAAACAGG